UUAGAGUUUGAUCCUGGCUCAGGAUGAACGCUAUCGACAGGCCUAACACAUGCAAGUCGAGGGGUAACAGGGGCUUCGGCUCGCUGACGACCGGCGCACGGGUGAGUAACGCGUAUGCAACCUGCCUGUAACAGCGGGAUAGCUCCCUGAAAGGGGAAUUAACACCGCAUAACACCACGCUCUCGCAUGGGGACGGGGUAAAAUAUUUAUAGGUUACAGAUGGGCAUGCGUGACAUUAGUUAGUUGGUGAGGUAACGGCUCACCAAGACUGCGAUGUCUAGGGGUUCUGAGAGGAAGGUCCCCCACACUGGAACUGAGACACGGUCCAGACUCCUACGGGAGGCAGCAGUGAGGAAUAUUGGUCAAUGGACGCAAGUCUGGACCAGCCAUGUCGCGUGCAGGAUGACUGCCCUAUGGGUUGUAAACUGCUUUUAUAUUGGAAGAAUUGCGCUUACGAGUUAAGCGUUUGACGGUACAUUAUGAAUAAGGAUCGGCUAACUCCGUGCCAGCAGCCGCGGUAAUACGGAGGAUCCGAGCGUUAUCCGGAAUUAUUGGGUUUAAAGGGUGCGUAGGCGGCCAUUUAAGUCAGCGGUGAAAUUUUGCAGCUUAACUGUAACAGUGCCGUUGAUACUGUUUGGCUAGGAUUUGGUUGUAGUGUGCGGAAUGUGUGGUGUUGCGGUGAAAUGCUUAGAUAUCACACAGAACACCGAUUGCGAAGGCAGCACACUAAGUCAUUAUUGACGCUGAGGCACGAAAGUGUGGGGAUCAAACAGGAUUAGAUACCCUGGUAGUCCACACUGUAAACGAUGAUAACUCGCUGUCGGCGAUACACAGUCGGUGGCCAAGCGAAAGCAUUAAGUUAUCCACCUGGGGAGUACGACCGCAAGGUUGAAACUCAAAGGAAUUGACGGGGGCCCGCACAAGCGGAGGAACAUGUGGUUUAAUUCGAUGAUACGCGAGGAACCUUACCCGGGCUCGAACGGUGCAUGAAUAUACGAGAGAUUGUAUAGUCCUUCGGGACAUGUAUCGAGGUGCUGCAUGGUUGUCGUCAGCUCGUGCCGUGAGGUGUCGGCUUAAGUGCCAUAACGAGCGCAACCCUUGUCAUUAGUUGCCAUCAGGUCAAGCUGGGGACUUUAAUGAGACUGCCACCGUAAGGUGUGAGGAAGGGGGGGAUGACGUCAAAUCAGCACGGCCCUUAUGUCCGGGGCGACACACGUGUUACAAUGGGAGGUACAGAGGGCAGCUAUCCGGUGACGGAAUGCUAAUCUCCAAAACCUUUCUCAGUUCGGAUUGGAGUCUGCAACUCGACUCCAUGAAGGUGGAUUCGCUAGUAAUCGCGCAUCAGCCAUGGCGCGGUGAAUACGUUCCCGGGCCUCGUACAAAGCGCCCGUCAAG
rnacentral:rRNA from 1 species